rnacentral:rRNA from 1 species
UACGAAGGGGGCUAGCGUUGCUCGGAAUCACUGGGCGUAAAGGGUGCGUAGGCGGGUCUUUAAGUCCGGGGUGAAAUCCUGGAGCUCAACUCCAGAACUGCCUUUGAUACUGGCGAUCUUGAGUUCGGGAGAGGUGAGUGGAACUGCGAGUGUAGAGGUGAAAUUCGUAGAUAUUCGCAAGAACACCAGUGGCGAAGGCGGCUACCUGGACCGGUUCUGACGCUGAGGCGCGAAAGCGUGGGUAGCAAACAGG